UGGCAAGCUAGGCUGGCAAGUUAGCGUCUUGCUGUAACCAUGAGUACGCUUUACAUGGAGCUGAAGCUCAUUGAAAGGUGCCUGCUUAGGAUAGCAGUCUUGGUCUGGACUGAGAAACUCUAUCCUGAUUGGCUGGUGCUUUUGGGAAACAGGUCAGGAUGGGAACAUAGCAGCCUUAACCUUGAGUAUUGGCGCUUUUAGGUAAUGGAGUGGAGAAAGGAUUAAGGUUAACUGUUAUCUUUGGCAAGUAUCGAUCUUUGGGCGUGCUUGCCU
rnacentral:SRP_RNA from 1 species